rnacentral:lncRNA from 10 species
CAGAACUCCAGGUUCUCUGGCUUUUGGACUCAGGACUUGCACCUGAGUCCAGAAAGCAGCCUCCCCGGUGUCAGGCUCUCAGACGUUCGUUCUGAGCCCUUCGCACUUGGACUGAUCCACACCACCGGUAUCCCUGGUUCUCUGACUUACAGAUGACCUAUCAUGGGACUUCUCAGCCUCCAUAAUAGAAACAAGUCUUCUGGGCAUCAGAGAAACUCAAAACCACUGUGUGAGGUAAGUAUUACAUUUCCCCCCAUUACAAAUGAGGAAAGAAAAACUUAGAGGUUGAUCAAUUUUCCCAAGCUGAAAAUGGCUAGUGAGUAGUGAAGCCAAAUGUUUAAUCAGUUUCUGUGGGACUAAAAAAACCACUAUUUCUAGUAUUUUUUUAACUGUAAAGGCAAGUAUUCAAAGAAGAUUUUUUAAAAGCAGAAGGAAAAGGAAAACAAUCAGGGUGGGGGAACAAAAAAACCCCUCAAGCACCAAUCUCUAUUGAGGGAACAAAAAUGAUAAGGCAGAGAGAGGGUGUUCAGAAGGUAAGAACAAUUGGUUAGAGAAAUUUGUCUUAAAGUCUUGAGAAAUACCUAUUUCUGAUUCCUAUAAAAGCAUAGUAAAAUAGAUCAAUUUUUUAUUUCAACAAAAUUCAUGCAGAUAGCUAAUUUUAAUAGAAGAAUAAGAAUAUGCUAUUUUUCUUAAAAAGAGUAGCCAGGGAUCAGUCUUAAUGAUUUAAUUCACUUGGCCAUUAUAGGAAGAGUCUGUAUUCAUACAUAGAUCUGGUUUGCCUCCAUACAGUUUUUUAUAAAUCACAUUUAACUCCAGCAAAUUGCUACUAUUUUGUAUCUUCAGAAUGAGUUGGACUGGUUUUCACACUUUUCAACUACUUCUUUUAGUAUCAGAAAUUCACUCCAACAGCCAUAAGAUAUGUUACCUGCAUUUUUGCCCAUCUGGAGCCCUGCAAGAUAAACUUCAGUUUUAGCAUUUCAAGUCUUUAAGAAGUUUUAAACGAUAUUUCAAGGAUUUUGUUAUUAUCCAGAUACAGCCAUGAAAAGUACUUUUAAUCACAGUCCACAAACCUCUAUGAAGGCUAUUGUGUUCGAGAUAUAAAGCUCAAAAAAUUAGCCUCCAAAAUGAAUUAAACCUACCUGGAGUCCAGAAAUCCUCCCUGGGGUUGAUAUCAAGCCCUUUACUCAGGAAAUGUUGCCUUUUGUUGAUGUGGGGUUGGGAAAUCUGAGGAAUUCUCCUCCCUAGAUUUAAUGCCCCCAGAUUUAAAAUGUAAGUAUUAGAAGCUGAGCCCUCGAACAUCUCCCUUCAUUUCUUGACAUCUUUAUGACAAUGUAUGGUGCAGUACCUCACUUUGCUGCAAUUACCGAACAGACGGCACUGUAGGCAAUGUAAGUUGCUCUUAAGUGCAGCAAUCCAUUCUGAAGAGAUGUACAAACAUAAACUCUCAAUCAUGGCAGGCUUCUAUGAAACCUGAGCAUUAUCUGUGAAUUUUCUCCUUUUUAAUCAUUCUGUUAGCUCACCUCUAGAACCCAGUGGCCUAAUUUACUAAUUAAUAACUAUUAUUACUUAGUAGAAUUGAAAACUGAAAUUACUGCCUGCCUUAAACAUAAUAAAAAUUGGCAAUCCAUUCAGAGUUUUUUGAGGGGAUGCUUCAUUCAUUGCACAGUCCUGGCAGCUGGGUAGAUGUCAUUGUCUGCUUGCUACAUGGGCCUUGUUUCCAGAUGGGAUGGAAGAGAGGCAGGAGAUUGUCUCUCUGACUUGUUCAGACUAGAAAAAGAAACAGAAUAUAGUACAAUCUAUACCUGUGGAAUCUUAAUAGACUAUUGUUUCAGCCAAUAAUUGCAUUAUUUAGAAACAUCCCAUUGUCUUCUUUAUUUGUGCUUGGUCCUCCUAACUCCAGCUUCUCUUUGUACCUUAGCAGGUGAUUGCUAAGCUCAAGUGACUCUUCUUUUUUUCAGUUGCUAAGUGAAAAGUCCUUAAAGAGAAAUCGAUGAUGUAAGUUUCUUGUCUCUUUAUAUAAUCAAAUCAGUUAGUAACCAGGUUAAAUCUAGGAUAAAUUAAGCAGAAAUUACUACCAUAAUCAUUUUUUUCUUGUAUAGUUUCCUUUACAGUUGGCCAAGUCACAUCUGCUUAAAGCAACAGAAAUGAAUUUAUCCUUCAAACUUUUCUCCUUUUCCCUACUGCCAUUCCAAUUACAAGUGCCAAUAUUAUGUCUCAUUGCCUUAAUCUAGGUUAUCUUUCAAUUGUCAUUACAAUAUGUUUGGAUGUUAAUAAUACAUAUUUGUUUAUUCUAAAGUCUAGUGUGUAUCUUAUGUCAGGUACCAGCAGAGAAGCUGAGAUUACAGACAUAAAAAAGUCCUAUUCCUGCUCUCAAAAAGCUAAUUUUCUAGCAUGAAAGUCAAAGUAUGAAGCCAUAUGAGGAGCACUAUGAAAAAAAUAUCCUCAAGAUGCAGAAGGAACUCCAAAAAAACAAAAUAUCCUUAAGCAUUGUUUAAAUUUUAUCAAGUUCUGAAAGGUUAGCACUACAACAAGGAAAAAUUAUUGUCCCUCAAAUUUUAAAAUCUGGUCCAGAUUCUCAUAAGACCAAUCAUGAAGGCAGCUCUGCACAUGCAGGCAGCAAGUCAUCCUAAGAAAGCAUAUGCAACAGUUAGGAAAAGAUGCCUAAAUAUACACCAUGCUUAGUGUGGGUCACUGCUCAGUCAGCUUAGCAGAUAACUGGCAAAAAUAUCAUUGUGUCUUUAAGGUGGUCUCAAUUAUUUGCUUCACACAUCUGGACUAAAGAAUCAGCUUUUCAUGGCUGAGAGUUUGUUAAGAGUUUUUUUCCCCACUUCUUAGAUGUAUAAUUGUGUCUCUUAAGGUGAAUCUCAUUCAAAUAAUCAAUCCAUCAGCUAUUGAGAGCCCAUAAUUUCUUAGCACCCUGUGAUAUGGUUUGGCUCUGUGUCCCCACCGAAAUCUCAUCUCAAAUUGUAAUCCCCACAUGUCAGGGGAGGAACCUAGUGGGAGGUGAUUGGAUCAUGGGGCCGGUUUCCCCAAUGCUGUUCUUGUGAUGGUGAUUAGAUCUCAUGAGUUCUAAUGGUUUUAUAAGUGGCAGUUUCCACUCCUCUCUCUUGCCUGCUGCCGUAUAAGAUGUGCCUGCUUUCCCUUCUGCCAUGAUUGUAAGUUUACUGAGGCCUCCCUAGCCAUGCAGAACUGUGAGUCAAUUAAACCUCUUUCCUUUAUAAAUUAUCCAGUCUCAAGAAUUUUUUAUAGCAGUGUGAGAACAGAUUAAUACACCCUGGGAGGCCAUCUACAGUGAAUACUGCUCUAUUCUCCAAUCUCACUUUGAUAAGAAGUUCCAGAUAGUACCCACCAAGAGAACAAACCUAUUCAAAAGAGCCCUUCAAAUUUGACCCAACAAAGCCUUGCUCCAUAUUAUGUUGACAAAAACACAAACUCCUAUGAACAGUUUACAAUUUGUUCAUCUGUUUUAGUUCAACCAUAUACUUUCUCUUGGCCUUUGUAAUUGAAUAAACACAUAACAAAGCAAGAAGAAUACUAACAGGACAAAUGCUCAAUCUGGUGUUUUCAGCCACAGAACAGUAAAAGUUAAAGUCAAGCUUGAAAACCUCCAUUUUUCUUUAGGAUCACUAACCCAACAAUCGCGGACGCCACUAGAUCCUAGCUACUCCAUGUUUUUAAAUGUUAACAUCACAUAAUAUUAACAAUGAAGUCAAUGACAAAUUAAAUUCUAGAUCACACUCAGAUCUAGAUCACACUAUUCCAGAGCUAUGUACUAUUUUCUAUGCACUUUUGCAUUGUGAAAUUAAGAAGAGGUAGCCGAAAAGAGAUGACAAGCCAUAGAAAUCUCUUCCCCUUUUCAAAGAAGUCUUCCCAUUCUCAAAAUGUGAAUUCAAAGAAAUUAUUACAAACUAGACACUGUAUUUAAUACACAAGGUACAGAAUUAAAAACAAUAAAGAUAUCUAGAUCAGAGCUUGGCAAACUAUGGCCUACAGGCAAAAUCUGGCCCACAGGCAAAAUCUAACCCACAGUCUGUUUUUGUAAAUAAAGUUUUAUUGGAACACAGUCACACUCAUUUACAUAUUGUCUAAGGAACAAAGAGCAGAGUUUGAUAGUUAAGACAGAGAGAGUGUAACGUGCAAAGCCUAAAUUAUUUAUUCUUUGGCCUUUUAUAUAAAAAAAUCUGCUGACCCCUGGUAUGGAUCAACAAUUUCUUAUUUGUAAUGCCCAAAUCUAAAAUUUUUUGAAAAGUAUUUGGCAGCAAAACCUGAACUGACCUGAAAUCCUUUAGCAUCAAUGGUAUAAACUUGUCUGAAUUGAUAUGAGGUUAUUUAUAGUUUCUAUUUAUUUAUCCCACUGGAAAUAUUUAUAUGAUUCACUACAGAAAUUUUGGUUUGUUUGAUUACAGGGAGUUGUCCCAGACCCUACAAAGGUUAUUAUAAUACUUAAUAUACACAGCACAUUCUUUAUGCAUCUUUCCAAGUUCUAAAACAUCCUUAAUUCUGAAAAAUAUCUGGCCUCAAGUGUUUCAGAUUAGAUUUGGUGGUUCAAAGAUGCAAAACCUCUGGGAUAAAAUAACAUUUUUUAAAAGGUUUCAUCUUUGAACAUUCUCAGGGGUAUGAGGUCCAUUAAGUAGGAGUGGAAAGACCAUGAAUGAUAAGUGCCACUCAGUAUUAGUGGACUUUCAGAUAGACACACUCAGAUGAUUUGGAUAGCGUGUAUUUUGUAUUAAGACUUGUGGGCAAAGCACAAAACAGAAAAUAGCAAUAGCAUUAAUAUUAAAAAGAGAGCUAAUAAUAGAUAUCUGCAUGCUAAAAUAUAUUUGGAAGACUGCCACUACAAUUAUAUAAAAAAGUAGCAUUCUUACUUUCUUACAGUCUUGCAGUGUUUGCUUCUAGUUAUUUAAAAGCUGAAGUCCUUUAAGAUUAAUAAUAUAUAACAGGAGAAAACAAAGUUUUCACCUAAGGAGCUCAUGGAUCUUGGGAACUGACCCAAGGACAGAUUAAAAAGUCUUGUUUUGUAAAACUAAGAUUGUCACUUUCUAAAUGUGAAUCUCAGACAGGUCUAGAAAGUGUUGCUUUGAAGCAGUCAAAGAGUUAACCUUGAUGCCUGUGUUUGUGUGUGUCCUCCUCACCACCCCUAAGACAAAAAGCUUAGCAGGCAGCACAGUGAUGGUGCUUUAUGGCAGGUAAAAGAAAUGGACAUAAAAAUAUCAUACAUCUGAACAGGUGUACAAAGUAAGUAGCAACCUGAGUCAUCAGAAAACAAAGAAGGAUAGAUUUUUGACAGAGAAUAUUUUGACUUCAGAAAGACUAUUUCAUAGCACUCAUAGAAUGUUCAGAGAGACCUGGGACAAAGAUUGGGGUCAUGGAAGCUUGGAGGCAUAGCCUCAAUAUUUUUAAUUCACCAUAAAGUAAAAGGUGUACCAAAAAAAAAAAAAAACACAUCAAGUCAGCAUCAAGAUUCUUUCCUUUGAAUGACCAAUAUAAAUAAGAAUAAACCAGCAUUAAAUUUAUAUUGCUGGUAUUCAUAGCUCUCUAUGUAUGAUUAUGGGUGGAACAAAGGGAGAUUGGGUUGCUUCAGCAGUCAUAUUGACUUUGGCAAGUGGAUCAACCAUGCAGUAAUUUGGCACUACCGGCAGACAUCACACCAUUCCGCACAGCUUUUAACUUAGUAUUGUGUUCACAGUCUUUCCAAAGAAUGUCUCCCUUCCUCUUUAGGUCUCAAAAUAAUUAAUGAGAAAUGCAGACAUAUUUGUAAAAAUACAAAAGUUCAACUUCUAACAGCACCAUAAGUCAAACUGAUAAGUCAUACAGAAUUGACACAGGCUUCCAUAUUUGGAUGUUCACAAUUAUUUGCCCAAUUAUCAAAGAGGUUGCAUGCCACACAGAAUGAAUAGGCAGACUAAUCUGAUGAACUGUCUGGGUAUAGCAUACUUUGAAAUCUAAGAUGAGACCUUUAUGCCAACUCAAUUGCAUCAAUAUUAUAUGGAGCCAGCCAUUGGCAGUAUUUUUUUCUCAUCCAGCACUAUGUAUAAAGUAUCUCUUAAUGUCAUUGUCUUGCAGUGGUGUGCAUGUGUGUGUUUGUGCACAUGUUUAUGACAAAAAAAAAACCUUAUCAAUGCAAGGGCUCAGAAAUAUCUAGUACAGGAGUCAGUAAACUUUUUCUGUAAAGGGCCAGGCAGUAAAUAUUCCAGGCUUUGCAGGUCCUACAGUCUGUAGCAAUGACUCAACUUUGCCGUUGUAGCAGAAAAGCAGACAUAGACAAUACAUUAAUGAAUGUGUGUGGCUGCAAUUCGCCAAUCCCUGAUCUAGUGCAUAGAGCUCUAUUGAGUAUGGAAUUGAGAUCAGAUCUGUAACAGAACCUGACCCUCAGCCAUCUAUGCCUCCAAGGAAUUAGUAGUUCUAAAACAUCAGAUUUGAUAUGAUUAUGUAGUAAUAUAUAUGCCCUAGAUACUUAAAUAAUUGCAAAUCAAAAAGGAUUGAGAAGACCAUGAUUCCAUCUAUAGGUUUUCCAAUAAUUUCCUCUGUAGUUCUUUGAAAUGUUGCUUUUCUGUACUCGUAAUCCUAGAUUUGUGAUGUCACCAUCUGGUAUUAACCUCCAGGAUUAAAAGUUAGGAAAACACACUGAAAACCUUGGAAAUUAAAGUUGAACAAUUUUAACGAAAGGAUAUUAAAUUAUUUUAAGCAUAGAUUUAGCAGGACUAUAAAGUGACGACUGUCUUCACAACUUAAAAUGCAGGUAUUAACAUGUUUAAAUGUUUAUCAAUUUAGUUAAAUGAUAGGUAGAUAGAUAGAUAGAUAGAUAGACAGAUAGAAAUAAUCAGCAUAGAUGUGCUUAUGCAAACGUAUUUUGUAGUUCUCUUAUAAGAGGGCUUAGAAUCAAUUACACCUCAGUAACAGUGAGCACACCUACAGCUGAGAUCUUAUUUAACGAUCUUUCUUUAAAUAAGUAAAGGAAACUAUGAGUCCUUGAAGGGAUGGAUAAAUAUAAUUCUAGGGCUGAGACCUGGAGAGUACAAAAUGAUUCUGGGGCAUCUUUUGUGCAAAAAAUUAAGAAAGUUCUCAAGGAAUAAUGAGACAUGUAAAACUAUAUAGAACAAACUUGAAGUGGCCUUCACUGGCCAAAUUCAAGACAAUUUAAACAACAAAAUAAUGAUAGUAACAGAUUAUUCCCCAUAGACUAAAAUAAUAAUCCAUUUAUAUACAUUGAUAUAAACAAAUGGCAGGGGGGAUAUCCUUCAUACAGCAGAAUUCCAAUCCAUAGAUAAAGAAGAAAUGAUAGAAUUUUAAAAUUCACCAUAAUAAUUAUUUUGGACAGGAAAUAUGAAUGAAUGCCAAAACUGGAAGGUGAAAUUGUGAUGAGAAACAGGGCUUAUAUAUUGUCUAUAUCUUUCACAAGACACUUAUCAAGUAAUAUUGCAAAUGGAAAAUAGUAAUUUUACAGUACAGAAACCUGGCAGAUAAUACCAUAACAAGUAGUCAAGUUAGUACCACCAGUAUGGGGGUUAAAUUAAUAUCAUGUGCCUCCUGACACAAUGCACUGAGAAGGAUAUAGCAUCUCAUUUGUAAAAUCAUAUUGCCAAAAAUGCAUGACCAGAAUCUAAUUAUGAAGAAAUAUCAGCAAAUUCAAAUCAAGGAACAAUUUAGAAAAUAUUAGUAAUGUGCUCUUCAAAACUGUUAGAGUUAUGAAAAACAAAAAUUAUAAAAGACUGAAGGUAUGUUUAAAAUCAAAAGAGAUUUAAGAAAUAUGGCAUCUUGGAUCAUAAGAAAAUUUUGGUUUUCUUUCUUUAUAAAGGACAAUAGUGGGAUAACUGAUACAGUUCUGUUACAUUCUGAUAAUCAGAUAAUAGUAUUGUGUUGAUGAAAAUUUCUUAACUUUGAUAAACUGUACUGUGAUGUAUAUAGAGAGAAUGAUAAAACAAGUAUGAUGGAAUGAUAAUGUUGGGGAAUCUCUAUGAACAAUAUAUGGGAAUUCUUUGAACAAUUUUUGUAACUUUUUCAGUAAGUCUGAAUUUUUUUCAAAACUAAAAGAAAAAGAAAAAGAUAUGGACCUAGAGCCAGAGUGCCCGUAUUUGACAUGUGAAUAUGAAGUUGCCUACCUUGGAAGGAUUAUGGGCUGAGUUGUGUCCCCUAAGAAUUUACAUAUUGAAGCCCUAGUCCCCAGGAUCUCAGAAUGGAACUGUAGUGGGAGAUACAAUUUUUUAAAGGGUAAUUAAGUUUAAAUGAGGUCAUUGGUGUGUACCUUAAUUCAAUAUAAUGAGUGUCCUUAUAAAAAGAGGAAAUUUGGCUGAGCGAAGUGGCUCACACCUGUAAUCCCAGCAUUUUGGGAGGCUGAGGUGGGUGGAUCACCUGAGGUCAGGAGUACAAGAUCAGCCUGGCAAUAUAGGGAUACCCCAUCUCUACUAAAAAUACAAAAAUCAGCCAGGUGUGGCAGUGCACACCCAUAAUCCCAGCUACUGGGGAGGCUGAGGCAGGAGAAUCACUUGAACUCGGGAGGCAGAGGUUGCAGUGAGCCAAGAUGGUGCCACUGCAUUCCAGCCUAGGUGACAGAGCUAGACUCUGUCUCAAAAAACAAAUUAAUUAAUUAAUUAAUUAAAUUAAAAGAGGAGAUUUGGACACAGAUGGGUGCAAAGGGAAGACCAUAUAAAGACACAGGGAGAAGACGGCCACCUACAAGCAAAGGAGAGAGGCCUUGGAAGAAACCAAUCCUGCUGACAUCUUGAUAUUGAACUUCUAGCCUCUAGAACUGUAAGAAGAAUAUAUUUUUAUUGUUUAAGCUACCUAGCAUGUGGUACUUUGUUAUGGUGUUCUAGCAAACUAGUACAGGAAAUUUACUAACUGUAUGAACCUUUCUAUUUACAUUUUCUCCUUUGUAUACUAGGGUCAUAAUUAUCUACCUUAUGGGAUUGUUAUGAGGAUUUAAGAAAAUCAUACAUGCAAAGUAUUUAAAACAGCAUCUGGCAUAUACAUUAUUUAGAAAUCAAUGAAUUAUUAUUUCUGCCACUACUAUUACUACUACUACUACAUUACUAUUCCCUACUAGAUUGUACUGAGGCAGAAAUAUGGAAGCAUGAUAUCUAGAAGAAGAUAACACAUAAAAUACCAUUAUAAACUGAUUUACUUUUUCUGUUUUUCACCAAUUGCAUUAUUUAUCUUCACAAGAAGAUACUGAGGAAUAUUGGUCUUGCUUAUUUGCCUGCUCCAUCUGAAAUAAUGAUCUUCUAUUCAAUGAAAGAUUUGUUAGAAAGUCCUGAAUUGGUUUUAUCACUGUGUAGAGAGAUAUCAUUUCUAAGGUCAUAGUUUAGUCACAUGAGAAGAAAAAGCUCAUUAAAUAUUAAAAAAUAAUCUUAAUUUAGGUUGAUCAGUGAAAGCUUACUAUAGACUAGCUACACAUUGUGCUAAAUAAUCUGCAUGUAGCAACCUAAUCCUCAAAACAAUCUUUUAAAUUAUAUAUUAUGUUACUGGCAAAUAUCAAAAAACUAAUAAAAGACUAAACUAGAUUUCUUAGUUUUUAAUCCAAAUCCCAUGAUGUUUACUACUGUGCUCUAUGACAUAGCAUUAUUAUUACAUCCAAAUAUUUGGCUAUAAAUACUUUUUUUCUUUACUUUUCAAGGGACUUAGAACUAUGCAGACAUGACUUCUAAAAAUUUAAAAUAAAUGUUUAUGCAAACCAAAAGAUAUGAAACUUUUACAUGUCAAAUAAACAAAGUCAAAGGCAAGCAACAAACAAGAGAUGAAAGCCCACAAAUAUGACAACUCAAACUAGAAAGAAAACUGAGUCAUCAAAACAAAUACAACAUUUAGGGGAUGGCAGUUUCCAAAGAGGAAAUUCAAAUGGCCAAUAAACAUGGAAAAAUUUUUAUCUGACUAUUAAAGAAGAAAGGUAAAUUUAAACAAGUUGGUAGACUUUCAUUUUGUUUUUGUUCUGUUUUGGGUUUUUUUGUUUGCAUUUCUAUUAAAUUUACAAAAAAAACGAGAAAAGAAAAAAAAAAUCAAUGUUGAUAAGCAUGUGGCUUUUUCGUAUGUUGUUGACCAGAGUAAAUUUUCCUCAGUAUUUUGAAAAGAGUUUUCUAAUGUAAGUUAAAGUAACAUAAAGCUGUUUAUCAUCAGCUCAAUUAUGUCACUGCUAGAAAUCUCGUAGCAAAGUAAUAUGAUUCAAUCCAAUAUAUACAAUAGGUUCUUUUGUAUUUGUUAAAUAUGUUUCUGGAAUAAGGGGAGUGGUGUUAUAUGACGUAAGUCAGGAUGCAAAUUGCUGUGUAACAUAGUAUCUCUGGAUGUUAGGAUUAUGAAUGAUUUUUAUUUCCCUAGGUUUACUCUGCUUUCAUUAAUCUAUAUGUAAAUACACA